GCCAGUUUGGCCUAGCACCCAGUUUUUUGGUACUGGGCUGUAGUAUUAUUUAUGGCCCCCAGACAUACAAGGUAUUGACAUACAAGGAGGAUCAGUUGAUCACAACACAACAGCUGUGUCAUGUUGACUUAGUACCAUCAGUAAUAACUAUAGUGUCAAACACAAACGGGAAAAUGACAAACUGUAGUAACUAGUACUUUGUCACCUUUAAACCUAGGUACAAGAUUUAUAUUUACAUACCAAGAUCUAAGCCAAAUCAGAAAAUUAUAUACAUUAAAUUUCUACUCCAUAGAGCAAUUUUACCCCUUUUCACCAUAAAGCAGUAUUGAGCCAUGGUAAGAUAUAGUUAACUACCUAUAGAUACAUAAGGGUAAAUGGUACAGGUGUGGUAGUAUGAAGAAAAAAAAGAGAAAAGAACUAGAUUAUGAAAAGGCAAUGGUAGAUAGGAGGAAUGAGCUAAGAUUGAUGUUGAAGGUCCACUGUUGGUGGAAGUGUAAAUUGGUACAACCAGUACAGGAAUUUCUCAAAAAACUAAAACUACAGGUUCUGUUCAACCCAGUUUUUCCCUUUCUAGGUAUCUUCUCAAAAGAGUUGAAAGCAUCAUACUACAGUGAUAUAUGCACACUUCUGUUUAUAGCAGUGCAGUUUCUAAUACCUAAAUCUUGGAAAUAGUCCAUAUGCCCAUCAAAGGAUCAAUGGAUAAAGAAAAUGUGGUUUUUGUAGUAGUACAAUGUAGUACUACUCUGCCAUAAAGAACUAUAAACUUGAGACAUUUUUAGGUAAAAACUUGAGAACAUAAUUUUUAGUGAAAAAAAUUGGACACAUGGUUAAAUACCACAUUGUUUCUCUUGUGUGAGAAACCCAAUGAAUAAAUAAGCAAAAUGGAGGAUAGAUGUUGGGAAGUAGGAAGAAAAUAUUCACGUGGGAAGAGGAACAAGGGAGGGGGGUCAGGAAGGGGAACAAGGGAGGGGGGUCAGGAAGGGGAUGAAUAGAGCAGAGAUAAAAAAAGAAUGGAAGGAAAACAAUGGAAACAGUAUUAUGUAAAUGGGGAAAAGAAGUGCUAUAGGGAGUGGAGGUGAAUGAAGAAAAA
rnacentral:lncRNA from 1 species